UGCAGUCACAUGUGUAAUGAAUUCCCGUCUGGCAUGUCUGUGGUGAGGGUAUUUAAUCCAAGAAUACCAGCUAGUGAAGUGAACCAAUUCUCUGCAGUCUACACUCAUCUCUGAGUUCCUAUAGCAGAAAUUAUAAUAUGGGACAGGAACAGUCUGCUGAGAAACAGGCCGAGGAGUUACAGGUUGCUGCUUGGACUGGUGAUGUCAGCAGAGUGAAGUCCCUGCUGGCACGUGGGGCCAACCCCAACCACCCCAAGUACUAUCCAUUACACUACGCUUGUAGGAAUGGUCACCUGGAGAUAGUGAAGGCAGUUGUUGAGGCUGGAGCAGACCCUGAGAGAUGGGAUGAUGACGGCAGAUAUCCAGUUCGUUGUGCAGCCAAGUGGGGUCAUAAGGAGGUGUUGGUUUACUUGAUCAGGGAUUGCAAGUGCAACGCUAAUGCCAGGGACGAUCACGAAAAUACUCCACUCCACUAUGCAUGCUGUUGUGGUCACCAAGGUGUGGUGCAGUACUUGGUGGAGGAGGCCCACUGUGACAUCAAUGUACGGAACAAGAACAACCAGACUGUACUUCAUGCAGCCUGCGGUCUCUUAAGUGGUAUGACAUGGACACUUUCCGGUCAGUUUGCAGUAGUGCAGUACUUGGUUGAGAAGGCUAACUGUGACAUCAAUGCAACUGAUAAGCGAGGCAGGACACCCCUUGACCUAGCUAAAAAUAUAGAUUACAAGGACGUUGUUAACUACCUCAAGACUCGACAAGAAUCAUCUAGACAACCAGGAAAAGAUGGUGUUGGGAGUCAAACAACUGUUCCACUCACACAAGACGAGGCUGGUGCUCUGCAGAAGCUUCUCGAGGGAGCACAAGUCACCAUUGGUCAUCCCAUUGUUGCUGGCACCACCACUUUGGAGGAAGUUCAGCAGCUGCUUACUCAGAGAAGACUGGAGGAUAUGGCCGGCAACCUCAGGACAAGACUCAGACAAAUUAUGACUGAGCAACAAAGAAACCUCGAGAUACUCAACAAUCUAAUGACAGAUGAAGACACUAUCAAUGUUUGUUACCCAAGGCUAUUUCUUGUUGGGCCGCCAUCUGUUGGUAAGACGACCACACUCAAUCGACUGCUGGGGGAGUUUGAGAACAUUGACUCUGCUGGAGACAAAGCCAAGCUUAGAAGCACACUGCUUGCUAACUGCAAACAAAUACUUGCUUUCGUUACUGAAAACACAGCAAAAUGGUUGUCAUCCAAAGAUGUUGACGAAGAAACAAAGCUCUUGUUUGGCUACUUGCGUGAAUCUAAGUCUGAAACCACUCCUAACAAAAAAAGAAGUAUCACAACCUCAACCGAUUCUCCUGUAUUAAUACGCAAGCAAAGAACUCGAUCUAAAAAUGCGAUAAAACAAGAAAACAGACCACCACUACACCAAGCCACAGCUGCUCAGCGUACGACAAUGAGUCAUCUAAAAAGCAAACUAUUACCAACAAUAAAAUCAGAAUUACAACAGCUAAUAAUGAAUGCAGACUAUUCUAAAAUGGCCGAUUUCCUUGGCGAUAUUUUACUGAACAUUCACGACAUCGGAGGUCAGCCAGGCUUCUUGGAAAUGCUACCAGCCCUGAGCACUGGUCCGGCCAUGUAUCUAGUGUUCUUAGAUCUCAGUAAGGAACUUGACAAGCUGUACAAAAUACCUUUCAGUCGAGAUGGUAUGGAAAUUAUUCCCUUCAAUUCUGUUCACACUGCAGAAGCCACAAUCUCUCAAAUCCUCACCUCUAUUGCCAGUGUCCAUUGCAUCUCAAGAGAUCCCACUCCUCUUAUUAAUGUUGGCAGAGCUAGUGAUGCUCUUAAAGAAAGAAUAACAACUUUUAAACAAGUUAAACCGGUAGCAGCCUUGAUAGGCACACACAAAGACAAGCUGACCGACCCCGCGAGACAAAUCAGCGAGAAAAAUGAGGCACUUGAAAAAGUUGUCCAAAAAUUCCCUGAAAUUAUUAUUUCUCCAGGAUCAGAACAGCAGAAUAUUGAGCACAGCGAACCUCUAGACGGAGCCUGUACACAAUCAGAUUCAAAAUCUUGUUUCUUCUCAGUAGAUAACCUCAAUGGAACUGAAGUGUCUGACAUUGGCCCCGUUCGUAAUUUCUUAAGUCGAACAAUUUUGGCUCGUUUCAAAAAGGCUUCUCUUCCAAUUCGACCAAAAUGGCUCAUUUUUGGGUUGCUUCUUCGAAAACAAUUUGAUAUAGCUACAAUUGAAGAUUGCUUUGAAUUAGGAGAAAUGCUAGAAAUGCAGAAAGAAGAAGUAAAAGUGUGUCUCUGGUAUCUUCACAAUUGUGUUGGUACGAUCCUCCAUUACACCAACGUACCUGGUGAUGACGGUUGGCUCAAGGGUCAUGUGAUCUGUACCCUUCAAGCUAUCUUUGAUAGCAUCAGCCAGUUUAUUCUCUUUUCUAUGCGAACGCUUCACUCAGGAGGUCCAGUUACCAACUACGAGCAAGCCGAGUUGGUUAAGAAGGGACAGUUCUCGAUCAAAUCCAUUGAGAUGUGUUGCAGAAACGUGGAAAUUUUUAAACUUAUUCCCGCAAAGCAUCUCAUUAAGUUAUUGGAGCACGUCAAACUUCUGUCCCCGAUAUCUCAUAUGGAUGAAACAUCAGCAGAAGUUGUUCGCACUACCUACUUAAUGCCAGCUGUUUUGGAGUGUGCUUCGCAAGAGGAGCUGGCGAACCCACAUCCACCAGACACCAACAACCCAGAACCACUCCACAUCACAUUCAGCUUUGGUUACGUACCAACAGGAGUCUUCUGUGGACUCAUCACUCGACUAGUUUCCCAAGGCCCCCAUAAAAUCCUCGGAUUUAAGUGGAAGUUGGUGGAAGAUAGUGUCAAGAGAAACUGCGUCUCUUUCUAUGUAGAUGGUGUUCACAAGGUGACUCUGCUCUCACACGAAAAGAGCUACGAAAUUCGAGUUUCCCGUGAGGAUCCAGAAUCUUCUCUUCAUGACCUUUGCGCUCAUGCAAUCUCUGUCGUUUUGUAUUUCCUCAAAACCUUGUAUGAGAAUUUGGUUCCACUAAUCGCAUUCCAGUGUCCCUGUUCCAAUCACAAAGCCAAACGAGACGUCACUAAUUUAUGUACUAUUUCCGAUGGUUCAAAAGUUCGAUUUAUUUGUAACGAUUCUAUGAAGCUCGUUAAAUUAAAACCGGAACAACGGAUCUGGCUUGGAAAGACCAAGAAGGUUGGUGAGGAAGCUGAACUAGAGGUGCUAAAGUUUACUGAGGAUGGCUUCUCCUUCCACUGGACCAAAGAGGGCUCCAGACGUCAGAUAAAGACAACUGAUGAUCGGCCCAACACUCUGAGCUUCCCGAGUGUGAGAGAGGAGGACUUUGGUCACUACCAGUGUGAGGUGAAGGAUGCAGCUGCUGGGAAAGUGCUCCUCACUGUCUACAGAGCUCUCUACAAAGAGAAGACAAGUGAAGUCUCUACUGAAAGGAUUGAAGAGCCAAGAAGCAAUAACACUAAAUCUAUUGUAAAGAUGCCAUCAUCAGAUGAGGGGUCCCUGUCAUCAGAAAGGCUCCAAUACUCAGCAGAUCCAGUCCAGAGAGUUGGAACUACAUCAGCUGGUGAAGACAAUCAAGUCUGUACUAGAAUAUUAGGAUCAUCCGCUAAUCAAGUCGCUCUCCAAGAACUAAUGAAGCGAUACAAUCUGACUGACGAGCAACUCAACCGUGAAAUAGUGGACUCCGAUACUCCCGUAAUGGCCUUAAAUUUUGAUGAUGUGGAAAUGUAUUCAAUUGCAAUGGGGCUAGCUAUUGCUGAACAAGCCGAUGUGAAAGAAUCACGUGGAAAUCAAGCAGCCAUGUUGAAGUGCCUGCAAGUCUGGAAAGAACGUGAUCCUUUUCAAGCAACUUACAGAGCUCUACUGGAUAUUGUACUGAGAUUGGGGAAAGGAGAAACAGCUGAUAAAAUCUGUCAGCAAUUGUCCCAACAUCGUACACUGGACUGAUGCAGUGAUUACACAUGCAGUGUGUCGGAUUGUACAAAAUACUCUAGAAAUUGCAUGUGACAUGUAUUUAUAGCUAGUUGAAAAUAGUUGAAAAUAGUUGUCCAUUUUUAGAAGUUUAAUUAUUCUUAUGGCACAAAGGUGUUGGACUAGCUGUGUAGCUAUAAUUAUUAUUUGAUGUGUAUUAGUACAUGGCGAGAGAUUUAGUAUAGAAAUGAGGACACUCAAAUAAGAAUUGGAUUUAACUGGAACGCUAGUCUCGCCAUGAUUUCUGCUGGGUGUGUCUUGAAACCUGGAGUCUACACAAUCACAGGACUGGGGGAUACUUUACUUGUCCAUUGACCCCCUCUCCUUCGUAGCCGUUUAACCGGUUCAGGGCUCAGGAGAAGGCCAACACGACAGUGGAGAGGUCCAGAGGAGACAUGGAGGCUGCCUAUGUUAAGAAAGCUACAGAGGACCUUCAGUCGCACACUAAGAGAUUCCAGCAUUAUUAUGACAGAUACAACAAUCAUCUACACAGUCUGGAUAUUGAAAUGAAGUUGCUUCAAGAGUCGACUGGUAAGAUGAGAGAACUGGAAAGACUCGGACUGGCUCUCGACAAGAAAGUGGUUCGGGUCAAAGGUCAAUCUACUGACGCUGCGAUUGGGGCAGAAUCUCCCCUCACUCCACAAAAGAAAAUCAGUGUUUUCACAACUGGAAAAGCGAAAAACUUUCUCGAUGAUAUUUUCCGAUUUCUGCUGAGAGCGAGGAGAAUCCUGUCAGCCUCGUAUUGCAUUGGAUACUUCAUCCCUGAUACAGAUGAGGAGACCCUGGGGGCACAUGAAGUAUUGCAGGUAAACUAGAGGAAGCAGUGGAGGUGGUCUCGAAUAUGGUCAAUAGACAAUGCCUACAAACACCACGCUCUAAAAUGAACGAAGCCGCUGGAAACGUCGACUAUCUUUGCAGCAAAUAUCUCACCGAAAUGUCUGUGGUUGCGACAAUCGCCGAUCUGGCAGUAAAAGAAGCGGAAAAACCUCCACCUCUGCAUGCCGCCCCGCCCACUCCACGGGAGGACACCCCGCCCCCUCGUAUGGGGGUGAUUCCCCUCGGCUUCGGACCAGACGUUCCCGACCAACCGGACGAAGAAACAAAGCUCUUGUUUGGCUACUUACGUGAAUCUAAGUCUGAAUCCACUCCUAACAAAAAGAGAAGCAUCGCAACCUCAACCGAUUCUCCUGUAUUAAUACGCAAGCAAAGAACUCGAUCUAAAAAUACCACAAAAGUGUUUCCUAAAGAAAGCAGAUCACCACUACACCAAGCCACAGCUGCUCAGCGUACGACAAUGAGUCAUCCAAGAAGCAAACUAUUACCAAUAAAAUCAGAAUUACAACAGCUAAUAAAAAAUGCAGAUUAUUCCAAAAUGGCCGAUUUCCUUGGCGAUAUUUUACUGAACAUUCACGACAUCGGAGGUCAGCCAGGCUUCUUGGAAAUGCUACCAGCCCUGAGCACUGGUCCGGCCAUUUAUCUAGUGUUCUUAGAUCUCAGUAAGGAACUUGACAAGCUGUACAAAAUACCUUUCAGUCGAGAUGGUAUGGAAAUUAUUCCCUUCAAUUCUGUUCACACUACAGAAGCCACAAUCUCUCAAAUCCUCACCUCUAUUGCCAGUGUCCAUUGCAUCUCAAGAGAUCCCACUCCUCUUAUUAAUGUUGGCAGAGCUAGUGAUGCUUUUAAAGAAAGAAUAACAACUUUUAAACAAGUUAAACCGGUAGCAGCCUUGAUAGGCACACACAAAGACAAGCUGACCGACCCCGCGAGACAAAUCAGAGAGAAAAAUGAGGCACUUGAAAAAUUUAUCCAAAAAUUCCCUGAAAUUAUUCAGGAUCAGAACAGCAGAAUAUUGAGCACAGCGAACCUCUAGACGGAGCCUGUACACAAUCAGAUUCAAAAUCUUGUUUCUUCUCAGUAGAGAACCUCAAUGGAACUGAAGUGUCUGACAUUGGCCCCGUUUGUAAUUUCUUAAGUCGAAUAAUUUUGUCUCGUUUCAAAAAUGCUUCUCUUCCAUUUCGACCGAAAUGGCUUAUUUUUGGGUUGCUUCUUCGAAAACAAUUUCAAAUAGCUACAAUUGAAGAUUGCUUUGAAUUAGGAGAAAUG